rnacentral:lncRNA from 1 species
CGAGUCCCAAUCUCUACGAACCCCGAGCCCCCGCUUUGAGCUCCAAGCCCCCAUUCAAGGCUUGAGACAAGCCAUUAGUCCUCAUUUUGAACUAGCGUGCAGUCUAUUUCACAACAACAACACAUAUGAUAAAUGUCAUAGAAACAUGCAGUACAACCUCACUCUGACUGUACAUAAUUACUCGACAACAAAAGAUGCAAAAAAACCCCACUCCGACUCUAAUUAAAUAUAUUCACAACAUUAAUAGUAACUCACAUCUCAAAUUACA